GGACUCGUGGGGUAGCCAGGAUAUCCUACCGGGCUUCGGACUUCCAGGAAGAGACCCGGCGACCCGCGUUCAAAUCGCGGCGAGUCCG
rnacentral:tRNA from 1 species